CACGUACCCACGACAACCACCACAUGCAUUGGUCGCCAGCUAAGUCACGCACACGAAAGUACAUCCAUGGCGGGCUUUACCGACGCGUUGGUGCUCGAGGCACCCGUACUUUGGUGGCCGGCAGUCGGCGAUCUGCCACGAUAUCCGAUCGACGAUCAGCGGUCGUUUGUGGCCGCCAUUGUGGAGGCAGCGAUGCCCUGGCCGCAGGGCGCUUCCACAGCAGAGGGUACCAUGAUCCGCACGCUGGGCCUCUCGUGCCUGGGCCGCAGCGUCAUGAUGACGGCUGAAUGGAGCUGCCUCUACGGUAUCGGCUCGAUGCAACUUCCGUCCGUGAAGGUGUGGAACCCGCUACAAGGAUGUGCCGUGUACAUGACAGUAAGCACGGAGGCCGGGCUAGGGUCCCUGGCCAGUACGCAUCAUGGUGGCAAGAAUGGACGCGGCACCGCGUCCUUGACGGAGCUGGAUUUACGUCAGCUGGUACGCGAUGAGCGAGUGCGCGUGACGCACCGCUCGCUUCGUGAGAUGCUGAGUCGGUGCUGCUGCUCACGGGCGACCCUUCUGACUCACAUGCAACGAUGCGCCGAGCAGCGAGAGGAGUACUCGCUGCUUCACCGUGCCGUCACGCGGGCCCACACCGCAGCGCUGAAACACUUGGAGCGAGCCGCUCAGGCCAUGGACGGCGUACUCGCCAGCAACCGUGGGCCAUCCAGGAAGGCUGCUAUCUCUGCACCCUCCCUGUCGUCACUCCUGUUCGCCGGUGACACGCCGAGUCAGCGGCACCUGUUGCGUCUCCUGCAAGCCACUACGCCCUCGGUCGUCCAGGUAUCGAGCACGCAGGUGUUUGUGCUGGAGGCCCGUCGCCUCAACCUUGCAGAGGUGCUGACUCUCCUCGAGUUGGAGGCGUUGGAGGUGGUGGAGGCGGUACUGCGGCCACCGCCGUUGUGCGCCUCUGCCGCCUCUUCCUCCAGCACGGUGCAGGUCUCCCCAUGCCUGCUUAUUGUUAUGGAGUCUCUGCACUUGUUGGAAGGCAACGCCAACUCACUCGUGGCCAGCGUGACACACCAGCUGUGCGUGUGCCUGGAUGCCCUGCACGCCAGCACUGUACCAGCGAUUGUUUGGUCUUUCACGGAGGAUGUGUGCGACACGCCGCCAGCGCUUCUCACGCGCGUAGGGGCACAACAUGAGCGACUCGCCGUGUCCACGGCUGAGGACCGCAUCGCCUACCUGACGCGACGCUUGGCACGUUGGCCGCCGGUGUCGUCGCUGCAGCGGACCGCGUGGCGCACGGCCGCCGUUGCAUUGGCCGAAAGCACUGCGCACUGGACGGUAGAUCGGCUUGUGCUAGUUCGUGACGCGGAUCUCGCCAGUAUGCUGCCCUCCGCCCCUGCUGUCACCCGGAAGGUGAGCGAUGGUGCCUCACGUCAAGCUGAGUGUCUACAUGAGCAGCGCAAGAGAGGCGUGGAGGUGCAAGAGGUACAAGACGGCGUACCUGCUUCCUCAGCUACCUCGGUGGCCGCACAACGUUCAGAGCCUCCGCUGUUUGACAUGUACAGCCGCCUCUACGGCAUCGAGGAGGCGAUAUGCAAGGUGGAGGAGUUGAUUGUGUGGCCACUGACGCACCUUCUCCUCUUGCGCGAACUCGCCAUUCCGUGCGCGAAGGGCGUCCUUCUCUGCGGGCCCAGCGGGUCCGGCAAGACGGCACUCCUGUCCUGCCUCGGGCGACGGCUGCAGUUGCCAGACGCGCGGCGCAUCCACGUCAUGUCGGUGGAUGGGCUCUCCCUGAUUACAAAGGAGGUCGGCCGCUCCGAGAAAAACAUCGCGCAGCUCUUCGACACGGCGCGCUCCCUUGCGCCGACAGCACUUUUCAUUGACAACCUCGACUCGCUGGCCCCGCCACGCGGGCGUACCACGGCAGAAACGAACACGACCGGCGAUCGCACGCUUAGCACCCUCCUUACGCAGAUGGACGGCGUCGGCGGUGGGCAGGCAGACCGCGUCGUCGUCGUUGUCGCCUCGGCUCCGUCCACCGACACGCUCGACCCCGCCGUAUGCCGUCCUGGGCGGCUCGACGUGCACGUGCAGCUCACUAACCCGCCCACGAGUUCCUCCGCUGCUGUUAUGAAAGACCGGCUACGCGAGUUUGUGGCCCGCAUGCAGAAACGGCGGCAGUCUGAUGAUGUCCUAGCCACCGGGGACGGAGUGGGGGCUGCGACGCUGGAGGUGCUGGAGGAGGUCGAUCAGCUUGUGGAUGAGUACCUUGCCAGCGUCACAGCGAAUGUGAAGAGCAAAGCCGAUGACGACGCAGCUCUGCCACCGCGGCCGUCCUUGUCCCCGGCUGAGGUGACGGCGGCAAUACGUGAGGUGAUCCUUGACGUCGUUGCACGACUAGAGCGAGGUGACGGCCGUACGCCACCUUGCGCGGCCCUAUCGUCUGACGCGCAUGUGGCGGAUACGAGCAGUGAUGUGGUGCGCGCCGUGCGAGAUGCCGUCCGCCACCUCUACGCCCCCGCUUAGCGGGGCGACGGCUGAAGAGAAGGUAGCAGAGGCGAGGACCAGUAGAUGCGCUCUAAGCCCAAGGCGAGCAAUGCCGAGUCUGCAAGUUCCGCUCCGGAGCACUGCACCCGCCCACCCAUCCUCGUACCGCACCGCUUGUCGCCGCUCACCGUGAGCAGCCCGCCC
rnacentral:misc_RNA from 1 species